rnacentral:rRNA from 1 species
GAUGAACGCUGGCGGCGUGCCUAAUACAUGCAAGUCGAGCGAACAGACGAGGAGCUUGCUCCUCUGACGUUAGCGGCGGACGGGUGAGUAACACGUGGAUAACCUACCUAUAAGACUGGGAUAACUUCGGGAAACCGGAGCUAAUACCGGAUAAUAUAUUGAACCGCAUGGUUCAAUAGUGAAAGACGGUUUUGCUGUCACUUAUAGAUGGAUCCGCGCCGCAUUAGCUAGUUGGUAAGGUAACGGCUUACCAAGGCAACGAUGCGUAGCCGACCUGAGAGGGUGACAGGCAAAACUGAAACGGAAAAAGGGUCAAGACUCUACGGGAGGCAGCAGUAGGGAAUCUUCCGCAAUGGGCGAAAGCCUGACGGAGCAACGCCGCGUGAGUGAUGAAGGUCUUCGGAUCGUAAAACUCUGUUAUUAGGGAAGAACAAAUGUGUAAGUAACUAUGCACGUCUUGACGGUACCUAAUCAGAAAGCCACGGCUAACUACGUG